GCUCUCGUCGUCUAAUGGCUAUGAUAUCAGAUUCCUAUCGGCUUUGGAGGUUAUCUGAAGGUUCCGGGUUCGAGUCCCGGCGGGAGUA